AACGUAGGAGGCGAGCGUUAUCCGGAUUUACUGGGCGUAAAGGAUGCGUAGGCGGACAUUUAAGUCAGAUGUGAAAUACCCCGAGCUUAACUUGGGUGCUGCAUUUGAAACUGGGUGUCUAGAGUGCAGGAGAGGUAAGUGGAAUUCCUAGUGUAGCGGUGAAAUGCGUAGAGAUUAGGAAGAACACCAGUGGCGAAGGCGACUUACUGGACUGUAACUGACGCUGAGGCAUGAAAGCGUGGGGAGCAAACAGG
rnacentral:rRNA from 1 species